GAGGCAGGACCAAUCCUGGAUAGGAUGGGGCGUACCCUACAAAGCUCAGUUAGAGAUAUAGAGCAAUUUCGUCCACGAGUUAGGGACCCCGAGACGCGGAGCUUCCUUGAGCGAUUGUCAAAUCGGCUUCGCCGUGCGGCUGCUCGUUGUGGUUGCAGGACUGCCACGACGCGAGACGUGCACGUUCCAUCUCUGCGCGAAGGAGGCGUCGGUACGUCCAGCCAAGGCCCC